AGAGACAGACAGACAGACAGACAGACAGACAGAGACAGAAACAGAGGGAAGUCCUACCUCCGAAUGCUUAGGAGCUCAAGCAUGGUGAUCUUCCUCAUCUCGCGCCAAAAGUCCCCGUAUUCCGCGAAGGCAAAAGCGGCGUUCCCGUAGCCCAAGUGGACUCCCGCCUUGGAUUUGGUACGAGAAGCGAGUUCCUAGUCGGGGGUGGUGAAGCACUCCCGGACCACCUCUUGGCUGCUUAUGAUGACCGUUGGGUGGACUCCGAGCCGGAUCCGGAACAUCGGGCCUUGCGCGUCAGCCAUGGCGGCCAGGGUCUUGGCCAGUGGGGUCUCGCCACGAAGCAAGUGGAGGUGGCCUAUGGUCGGCCAUGCGCCCGGUAGCUCUGGAGCUGAAUUGGCACUCUUGGGCUUGUAGGAUGCCCUCCAGAGGCAAACAAGGAGUAUCAGAAGCCCUAAAGCUGCUAGGAGAUGACUGAGGAGGAGCAUGGUGGAUUAGAGAGAGAGAGAGAGAGAGAGAGGUGUGCGUGAAUGAAGAGAGUUAGGACUAUUAUGUAUCGAAUUUCCUUUAAAUGGAUUGUAUGAUUUAUU